AAAUUGAAGAGUUUGAUCAUGGCUCAGAUUGAACGCUGGCGGCAGGCCUAACACAUGCAAGUCGAGCGGUAGCACAGAGAGCUUGCUCUCGGGUGACGAGCGGCGGACGGGUGAGUAAUGUCUGGGAAACUGCCUGAUGGAGGGGGAUAACUACUGGAAACGGUAGCUAAUACCGCAUAACGUCGCAAGACCAAAGUGGGGGACCUUCGGGCCUCAUGCCAUCAGAUGUGCCCAGAUGGGAUUAGCUAGUAGGUGGGGUAAUGGCUCACCUAGGCGACGAUCCCUAGCUGGUCUGAGAGGAUGACCAGCCACACUGGAACUGAGACACGGUCCAGACUCCUACGGGAGGCAGCAGUGGGGAAUAUUGCACAAUGGGCGCAAGCCUGAUGCAGCCAUGCCGCGUGUGUGAAGAAGGCCUUCGGGUUGUAAAGCACUUUCAGCGGGGAGGAAGGCGGUGAGGUUAAUAACCUCAUCGAUUGACGUUACCCGCAGAAGAAGCACCGGCUAACUCCGUGCCAGCAGCCGCGGUAAUACGGAGGGUGCAAGCGUUAAUCGGAAUUACUGGGCGUAAAGCGCACGCAGGCGGUCUGUCAAGUCGGAUGUGAAAUCCCCGGGCUCAACCUGGGAACUGCAUUCGAAACUGGCAGGCUAGAGUCUUGUAGAGGGGGGUAGAAUUCCAGGUGUAGCGGUGAAAUGCGUAGAGAUCUGGAGGAAUACCGGUGGCGAAGGCGGCCCCCUGGACAAAGACUGACGCUCAGGUGCGAAAGCGUGGGGAGCAAACAGGAUUAGAUACCCUGGUAGUCCACGCCGUAAACGAUGUCGAUUUGGAGGUUGUGCCCUUGAGGCGUGGCUUCCGGAGCUAACGCGUUAAAUCGACCGCCUGGGGAGUACGGCCGCAAGGUUAAAACUCAAAUGAAUUGACGGGGGCCCGCACAAGCGGUGGAGCAUGUGGUUUAAUUCGAUGCAACGCGAAGAACCUUACCUGGUCUUGACAUCCACAGAACUUUCCAGAGAUGGAUUGGUGCCUUCGGGAACUGUGAGACAGGUGCUGCAUGGCUGUCGUCAGCUCGUGUUGUGAAAUGUUGGGUUAAGUCCCGCAACGAGCGCAACCCUUAUCCUUUGUUGCCAGCGGUUAGGCCGGGAACUCAAAGGAGACUGCCAGUGAUAAACUGGAGGAAGGUGGGGAUGACGUCAAGUCAUCAUGGCCCUUACGACCAGGGCUACACACGUGCUACAAUGGCAUAUACAAAGAGAAGCGACCUCGCGAGAGCAAGCGGACCUCAUAAAGUAUGUCGUAGUCCGGAUUGGAGUCUGCAACUCGACUCCAUGAAGUCGGAAUCGCUAGUAAUCGUAGAUCAGAAUGCUACGGUGAAUACGUUCCCGGGCCUUGUACACACCGCCCGUCACACCAUGGGAGUGGGUUGCAAAAGAAGUAGGUAGCUUAACCUUCGGGAGGGCGCUUACCACUUUGUGAUUCAUGACUGGGGUGAAGUCGUAACAAGGUAACCGUAGGGGAACCUGCGG
rnacentral:rRNA from 1 species